rnacentral:rRNA from 1 species
GUUUAACGGCCGCGGUAUCCUGACCGGGCGAAGGUAGCGCAAUCACUUGUCUUUUAAAUAAGGACCUGUAUGAAUGGCAAAACGAGGGCUUAACUGUCUCCCUUUACAAGUCAGUGAAAUUGACCUGCCCGUGCAGAUGCGGACAUAACAAUACAAGACGAGAAGACCCUUUGGAGCUUAAGACAUAAGCCAACUAUGUUAAUAACCUAUUAAUAGGCUAAACUGUAACACUGGCCCCAGUCUUCGGUUGGGGCGACCACGGAGUAAAACAAAACCUCCACGAGGAUAGGGAAUAUCCUAAAACCAAGAGAGACAUCUCCAAGUCACAGAAUAUCUGACCAAAUAGAUCCGUCCCGGCCGAUCAACGAACCAAGUUACCCAAGGGAUAACAGCGCAAUCCCCUUCCAGAGUCCCUAUCGACAAGGGGGUUUACGACCUCGAUGUUGGAUCAGGACAUCCUAAUGGUG